rnacentral:lncRNA from 1 species
AGUGGGUCUCAUUGUGGUCUAAGCGUAACGCGGGAUUGCCGAUUUUUUGUAAGCGUGACACGUGAAAGUCAAAUUAUUGUGUCGGGGAAAACGGGAAAUGAGAUCUAGCGGGACCCGGGAAAUAACAAAAAAAAUGAGAAUUGCUUACGUACAUAGUGUAAGCGGGAUACGGGAAUCUGACAAAACAGUAAGCGGGAUCCGGGAUCGGAACCCCCAAUGAGACCCCCU